UACGUAGGGUGCAAGCGUUGUCCGGAAUUAUUGGGCGUAAAGAGCUCGUAGGCGGUCUGUUGCGUCGGCUGUGAAAUCCCGAGGCUCAACCUCGGGUCUGCAGUCGAUACGGGCGGACUGGAGUUCGGCAGGGGAGACUGGAAUUCCUGGUGUAGCGGUGAAAUGCGCAGAUAUCAGGAGGAACACCGGUGGCGAAGGCGGGUCUCUGGGCCGAUACUGACGCUGAGGAGCGAAAGCGUGGGGAGCGAACAGG
rnacentral:rRNA from 1 species